rnacentral:tRNA from 2 species
GUAGGAAUGCCAGAGUGUAUAUGGAACUGGUUUAGGACUAGUUUACGGUGUUAUCAUCUUUCUACU